GUGCUCGCUUCGCAGCACGCAAACUAAAACUGGAACGACACCGAGAAGCUUAGCAUGGCCCCUGCACAAGGGUGACACGCAAAUUCGUGAAGGGUUCCAUAUUUUA